rnacentral:snoRNA from 1 species
AGAACAUCCCUGAUGAUUUGCAUCCUUAUGUUAUCCUUGCACUAUGAUUGCUAGUGAAGAAACUUAUGGGGAAAUAAUUGGACUGAGAUGUUC